GAGGGUAGGCCCCUCGGAGCCGCUUUACAGGAGGAGGCUUCAAACCACCUUAAGCUGCGAUGGUAAAGAGCCAUGGUGGUGAGCGUUAAGGAAAAGGCAGAGCAUGACUUUGUCAGGU
rfam:Cycloclasticus sp. symbiont of Bathymodiolus heckerae isolate specimen P Ga0097674_1088, whole genome shotgun sequence.